UAGAUACCCUGGUAGUCCACGCUGUAAACGAUGGAUACUAGCUGUUUGGUUUAAGGAUUGAGUGGCUAAGCGAAAGUGAUAAGUAUCCCACCUGGGGAGUACGUUCGCAAGAAUGAAACUCAAAGGAAUUGACGGGGGCCCGCACAAGCGGUGGAGCAUGUGGUUUAAUUCGAUGAUACGCGAGGAACCUUACCAAGGUUUAAAUGGGGACUGACAGGGGUAGAGAUACCUUUUUCUUCGGACAGUUUUC
rnacentral:rRNA from 1 species